ACCUCUUUAAUUUUUGGAAAAACUUCUAAACCCUCCUCUAUGGUUUCGUACUUUUCAUUUUAGUAUUCUGAAAUUUAAAAUGUAUCAAGUUAGUACCACGUGAUUUCGCACUCUCUCGCUUUAGUAUCCUGUGGUUUAAAGUGUACAAGUUAGUAUUCUGUGAUUUUAUUUUUAUAUCUGUUGGUAGCCGAUUUUCCUGACCCUUGACCCGGUCAAAGAUCCUCCUCAGGAAGUGCGUCGGGGUGAGGACCGACUGCGGAUAGUGACCCUCGAAGUUUGCGCCCUUCGACAGAUCAAACGAUUCGGCUGACGAGGGAUCGAGCCAGCCGGGUUCGAAGAUCUCUACAGUAAAUUCGGUUCGGCUGGAUGAGCCGAAUGUAUAGAAUGCACAGAAACUAGGGUCAGCUGAAGAGCCGAAUGGAUGAAAACACAAAGUGUGGUCGGCUGAAAGAGCCGAAUACCUUUAUAUAUUAAUAAAACAGAGUGUGCCCGAAGAGCAUACAGACUCUGAAAAUAUGUAGUUUACAACGGAGUGAUGCCCGUGGGGCGGAAUGAACAAAAGAAGUCA
rnacentral:lncRNA from 1 species